CUCUAGCGUGCCUUUGACGAGCCACGUCAAGCAGCCGUGCUGGGCAGGGAGCCCCAGGGUGGGCAGCGGGGUCCCUGCUGGCCCCGGUGUAGCUGGCUGUCAGAAGUCUUAGGAAAUGCAGAUGGAUGACAUCAUUCCAGUGCUGUGGAGCCAGGACAUGAGAGCAGCAUCAGCUGCGAGCAUCUGGGAUGAGAUUUGGUCGCAUCUCCUCAUGGGGACGGGGAGAUUUUGCUGCUACCAGCACGGGGCCUGGCUGUGUACCCAUGGGCAGCGAGGUGACAUGUCUGUACCCCUGGGGACACAGGACUGAUGAAUUCUGCUGCACGAUGCUGCGGGAAAUGGUCACACAAUGAUGAGGGUUUGGUUAAAGGUUGGGUUCUGGGUGGCCUCGGUGCCUGGCAGCCUGAAGUGGCACUGGGGCCACAUCCAGAGGCUGUCAUUAACCAGCGCUGAUGUUUCCUUUCUGCUUAAACCUGUGAUUUUGUUCUGCUUUCUGAGCUGAAUAGAGCGAGAUAAAGCCCUCUGA